GUCAAAACAUGUUCAAUUCGAAUUUACUCGGAAUUACACGUUCAACGAACAUUUCCUGUGAAACCUGAUUAAAGAAAAAUUACUGUAGACACCUAAUAGUGAUUUGUACAGAAGCGAGCCCCGGCAGGAAUGAUGGCCUCUUUUGAAAUGAAGAUUUCAUGCCUUACUCCUACUGGGACUACAACUAACUUUGGACCUGGUCACUCGCAGAUACAGCAUGAAGUGUGCCCUCUUGAUGUACAUGGGAAUGGGAGUGAUACAGAAGGGGGACUAAUUUGAAGAACUGCUGCUGCUGGUGGUGGUGCUGGACUGUCUUGAAUAUGUGGCCUAACCGAGUUGAUAUUCUUCUGUUUAAUAUGGGAGCAACACACACACUCUGGCAUCUAUUGCACAGAAAAUCAUGAUCAGAUGGUGCCCUCCCUAUCAGAGUGGUGAUCACUGUCCUAUAUUUCUUUGAAAUCCUGGAUCUGUGU